GGAGGAGCCUAAAGAAGAGGAGGAGGAAGUAGAAGUGAGUGAGCCAACAAAAAAGAAGAAGAAGAAAAAGAAGGUGAAGGAGGAAGACGAGUGAAAACAUGGGCCGGUGUACAUACUUUGUUUUUAAUUUUUUUAGAUUUUUGAACAGUGUUUUAUGUUGAAAGGCUGUAUUUAAUGCCUAUCCUGUUUUGUUUUUUGUUUUUUUUUCAACAACUGAAUCGUUGUCAUUUUAUGACAUAUGAAAGAAAACCUCUACAAACCAAUAAAAUCUGAGUUAUUUUUUA